rnacentral:rRNA from 1 species
AGCGGCGGACGGGUGAGUAAUGCCUAGGAAUCUGCCUGGUAGUGGGGGAUAACGUUCGGAAACGGACGCUAAUACCGCAUACGUCCUACGGGAGAAAGCAGGGGACCUUCGGGCCUUGCGCUAUCAGAUGAGCCUAGGUCGGAUUAGCUAGUUGGUGGGGUAAUGGCUCACCAAGGCGACGAUCCGUAACUGGUCUGAGAGGAUGAUCAGUCACACUGGAACUGAGACACGGUCCAGACUCCUACGGGAGGCAGCAGUGGGGAAUAUUGGACAAUGGGCGAAAGCCUGAUCCAGCCAUGCCGCGUGUGUGAAGAAGGUCUUCGGAUUGUAAAGCACUUUAAGUUGGGAGGAAGGGCAGUUGCCUAAUACGUAACUGUUUUGACGUUACCGACAGAAUAAGCACCGGCUAACUCUGUGCCAGCAGCCGCGGUAAUACAGAGGGUGCAAGCGUUAAUCGGAAUUACUGGGCGUAAAGCGC